rnacentral:rRNA from 1 species
GAUGAACGCUGGCGGCGUGCCUAAUACAUGCAAGUCGAGCGAAUGGAUUAAGAGCUUGCUCUUAUGAAGUUAGCGGCGGACGGGUGAGUAACACGUGGGUAACCUGCCCAUAAGACUGGGAUAAUUCCGGGAAACCGGGGCUAAUACCGGAUAACAUUUUGAACCACAUGGUUCGAAAUUGAAAGGCGGCUUCGGCUGUCACUUAUCGAUGGACCCGCGUCGCAUUAGCAAGUUGGUGAGGUAACGGCUCACCAAGGCAACGAUGCGUAGCCGACCUGAGAGGGUGAUCGGCCACACUGGGACUGAGACACGGCCCAGACUCCUACGGGAGGCAGCAGUAGGGAAUCUUCCGCAAUGGACGAAAGUCUGACGGAGCAACGCCGCGUGAGUGAUGAAGGCUUUCGGGUCGUAAAACUCUGUUGUUAGGGAAGAACAAGUGCUAGUUGAAUAAGCUGGCACCUUGACGGUACCUAACCAGAAAGCCACGGCUAACUACGUGCCAGCCGCCGCGGUAA